rnacentral:rRNA from 1 species
GACGUAGGGCGCAAGCGUUGUCCGGAUUUAUUGGGCGUAAAGAGCUCGUAGGCGGCUUGUUGCGUCGACUGUGAAAACCCGCGGCUUAACCGCGGGCCUGCAGUUGAUACGGGCAGGCUAGAGUUCGGUAGGGGAGACUGGAAUUCCUGGUGUAGCGGUGAAAUGCGCAGAUAUCGAGAGGAACACCUGCGGCGAAGGCGGGUUGCUGGGCUGACACUGACGCUGAUGCGCGAAAGCUAGGGGAGCGAACGGG